AUCCCAAAGCCCUACAAUUGCAGUCGUAGUCGGUUUUCUUCCAUCUCUCCCAACCAUCCGCCGACGAUCAACAAUCGUACAUCAACCUUCGACGGCGACGAUACCUGGUUAUUCAAAGUCAUAUUGGGUGUGUUAGAAAUGGCUGAAGAAGCGGGUAUGUUCAGGGUUCAUCAAACCAUUGGUAGUGUUCUGUGUUGCAAGUGUGGGAUCCCUAUGACACCAAAUGCUGCUAAUAUGUGUGUCAAAUGUCUGCGUUCUGAAGUUGACAUCACCGAGGGUCUACAGAAGCAUGUUAUUAUCAUGCAUUGCCCUGAGUGUGACAGUUAUUUGCAGCCACCCAAGACUUGGAUAAAAGCUCAGUUGGAGUCAAAGGAGCUGUUAACAUUUUGUGUGAAGAGGUUGAAGAACUUGAAUAAGGUUAGGUUAGUACAUGCAGAAUUUGUUUGGACUGAGCCUCACUCCAAGAGGAUCAAGGUGAAGCUGAGAGUUCAGAAGGAGGUUCUUAAUGGUGCAAUACUCGAACAAGCUUAUGUUGUUGAGUAUGUUCAGCAGGACCAUAUGUGUGAAUCCUGUUCUAGGGUCCAGGCCAAUCCUGAUCAGUGGGUGGCAUCUGUCCAACUUAGGCAACAUGUUUCUCAUAGGAGGACUUUCUUUUAUUUGGAGCAGCUUAUCCUGCGGCAUGAUGCUGCUUCUCGUGCCAUAAAAAUUAAGCAGAUGGAUCAGGGCAUUGACUUCUUCUUUGCUAAUCGGAGCCAUGGUGUAAAAUUUGUGGAGUUCUUGGGUAAAGUUGCCCCUAUAAGGAGCCGCAAUGAUAAGCAACUUGUAUCCCAUGAUCCCAAGAGCAACAACUACAACUACAAAUACACAUUCUCUGUUGAAAUAUGCCCAAUUUGCAGGGAGGAUCUGAUAUGUCUACCCCCAAAAGUGGCAGCUAGUUUGGGAAAUUUAGGUCCACUUGUGUUGUGCACCAAGGUGACUAACAGCAUGGUUCUAUUGGAUCCAUUUACUCUACGGCAUUGUUUUAUGGAUGCUGACCAAUAUUGGCGGUCUCCCUUCACAUCUCUACUCUCAAGUAGGCAGCUAGUGGAAUAUAUAGUGUUGGACGUGGAGAUUGUCUCCCCUGAAGUCAAUGUUGGAGGUUCUAAAUAUGUUUUAGCUGAUGCGCAGGUGGCACGAAUGUCUGAUUUUGGAAAAAAUGACAAGAUUUUCCAUAUAAGGACACAUCUAGGUCAUCUUUUAAACCCUGGAGAUUAUGCUUUGGGUUAUGACCUAUAUGGAGCUAAUAGUAAUGAUAUUCAGCUUGACAAGUAUAAAGGUCUUGUCCUUCCAGAGGCAAUUUUGAUAAAGAAGAGCUAUGAAGAGAAGCGCCAGAGGAAGCGUGGGAAGCCUCGUCAUUGGAAACUCAAAUCCCUAAACAUGGAGGUAGAUAGCACUGCUAAAGGUAGAAUUGAUGAAGAUAAGAUGAACAAGGAGUAUGAAGAGUUCUUGAAAGACUUGGAGGAGAACCCUGAAUUGAGAUUUAAUAUAUCAUUGUACCGUAAUAAAGAAAACCAGCCAUCAGAGAUGGCAUCAAUGACUGAUGGGGAGGAUGUGCCUUCUGUGCCAUUGGAGGAGUUGCUUGCUGAUCUUGAUCUGAGCGAUGAUGAAAAUGGGGAUGACAGCAUGAGGGAGUGAUUUGCAGAUUGUCGUCCUUAGUUGGACUUUGCUUUCAUUUUUUGCACCAAUAGAAGGAACUGCUUGACGCUAUUACUGCUGAGUCGCACACUUGGUUUGUGAGCGAGAUGGUAAUUGGUUCCAUUACACCUUCGCAUUUUAGGGAACAUGAAUUGGCGAGGUAUGCUGCGUAAGAGUCAGAAUACAAGGAAUGAAGGUGUGCUUGCAUUUCAAGCAAGGAGCAUAAUAUAGGAUCAAGGAUGUAAUAAUUUAAGUCGGUGCUUUACAUUGUUUCUUGGACUGAGUGUAUAGAACACAUCUCUUGAAUCUCGUUGUUCAUUUCUUGUCAGAUAUAUUACUUGAUUAUUAAAUAUUAAUUAAUGAUAGGUAUA